rnacentral:rRNA from 1 species
GCAGCCGCCACGGUAAUACGGAGGGUGCAAGCGUUAAUCGGAAUUACUGGGCGUAAAGCGCACGCAGGCGGUCUGUCAAGUCAGAUGUGAAAUCCCCGGGCUUAACCUGGGAACUGCAUUUGAAACUGGCAGGCUAGAGUCUUGUAGAGGGGGGUAGAAUUCCAGGUGUAGCGGUGAAAUGCGUAGAGAUCUGGAGGAAUACCGGUGGCGAAGGCGGCCCCCUGGACAAAGACUGACGCUCAGGUGCGAAAGCGUGGGGAGCAAACAGGAUUAGAUACCCCAGUAGUCCCUGUCUCUUAUAC